CAUAGCUCAGUUGGUAGAGCAUGAGACUCUUAAUCUCAGGUUCAUGGGUUUGAGCCCCCCAUUGGCAGGG
rnacentral:tRNA from 1 species